rnacentral:lncRNA from 1 species
UGCCAUCGCCACCACCCACCCCACCAACCAUCAUCAUCUUCGCACCAACACCACCUGUUGUCAUCGCCACCACUACCCUGUCACCACCGCUGCUAAAACCGAACAUCACCACCACUACCAGCCCUCCUUCAACCACAUAGCAGCCGAUCUGUUGGAGAUCAAACAGAUCAGACCCGACGACACCACCACUACAGAGAUCAAACAGAUCGGACCCAAACUUACUCUGUUACCGCCAUCGUAAAUUAACAAAGAAGACAACGAGUUUGAAUAAUUCUUAGCUAAAUUAAGCAAAACUAAAGCAAAAAAUUGACCUGCAAAUCUUCAAUUCGAGCUCGUGAAGGUUCAGAUCGUUUUUCUCCCAACCGAAAAGCCAAUCAUGCUAGAGACUUGCGAUGCAUAUCAGCCUUUGGAUCAAGUUAAAAUGAAAUCAUGGCCGCGUUAAUUCAACAAAAGCUUCUAGAAGGGGAGGUUGAGGGCGGUUUUUUCAUUCCAUCAAUUUCUCCCCCACGUCGCUCUGAAACCUCUUCAAAUGUUGCGUCACUCUCAUCACAUCUAUCUACAUUUACAUAUCGCAAAACAGGGAACAAGCAGAGAUAUGGGGUUUCUUUCAAACAGAGUUGGGAGUAUUAAUUUGUAGAGAUCUGCGGGGUGGAACGUCGGUCACGGAAUUUGUGAAUUGAGAAGAGAUUAGGGUUUCUAUGAAUACUAACAGUUUCCUAUCAAUUAUUACAAAAGGUAUUUCAAACCUUCUCAUUUCUACUCGUAUGCUUUUAGUUCUAAUUGGUUAUGUAGGGUGCAUUGUGUAGAAAGUGGUGAAGAAAGCAUACAGAGACAAUUAAUUUAUUCUCUAUAAUGCCACAUAUCAUAGGCAAUGAUCAUUUGCUCGAGGGGUUGAAGCAUAUUCAUAACAAAGAGCAAGCAAAAACAGUUACAACUGUUUCAAAUUCUUUACAACAAUCAAGUUACAGUUUCGAGCGCUAAUGCCACGGUGGCUUGGGAAGCCGGAAAGCCGCUGAUGAUUGAAGAAGUGGAGGUGGCACCACAACAGAAAAUGGAAGUAUGAAUUAAGAUCCUCUUCACUUCCCUCUGCCACACCGAUGUUUAGUAUCGGGAAGCCAAAGGGCAACAUCCUGUCUUUCCUUGGAUUUAGGAGUUGAUGCUAGAGGGGUUGUGGAGAGUGCAUGGGAAUGAGUGACAAAUCUACAGCCAGGGGAGAUGAAUUUUGUUAACAUGAACAUGUGUGACCUUCUCAGGAUCAACACUAACUAAAGUUUGUGUCCUCAGCUGUGGGAUCUCCACAUGUUAGGUGCUCCUUUGAACGUUGUAAAACCGAUGAAAGGUUCUUCUGUGGCCGUUUUCGGUUUGGGAGCUGUGGACUUACUGAUGCUGAAGGUGCAAGAAUUGCUGGUGUUUCAAGAACCAUUAUAGUUGAUCUCCUUGCCAAUAGAUUACAAGAAAUCGGUGCAAACAGCGUAAAUUUGAAGAGAUUUGGGGUUUGAGUUUGUGGACCCAAAAGAUUACAAGAAGCCGGUGCAAGAAAUGAUUGCAGAGAGGACAAAUGGAGGAGUUGACAGGAUUGUUGAAUGCACUGGUCAUAUUGAUGCUAUGAUCUUUGCCUUUGAAGGUGUUAUGAUAUAUGAAUUCACCUUAGACAUACCCUUUGCAUGCCCAUUUAUAUGUGUUUUUUAAUAAUGUUUUGUGGUGAUAUAAUUUUGGUGUAGGGUCGGGGAGUAGCUGUUUUGUGGGUGUUCCACAUAAAAAAUGUUGUCUUCCCUUUGAAUCUGUUGAACGAAAGGACUUUAAAAGUGUUGACCUUUUUUGUAACUACUUUUUCAUAUGCACCUUGACAAUUCAGUUAUUGGUAAUCUACUAAUCUGUUCUCAUCACCAUUGUACAAG